CCAGACUCCUACGGGAGGCAGCAGUGGGGAAUAUUGCACAAUGGGGGAAACCCUGAUGCAGCGACGCCGCGUGAGUGAAGAAGUAUUUCGGUAUGUAAAGCUCUAUCAGCAGGGAAGAGAUACUGACCUUACGGUCAGCAGACGGUACCUGACUAAGAAGCCCCGGCUAACUACGUGCCAGCAGCCGCGGUAAUACGUAGGGGGCAAGCGUUAUCCGGAUUUACUGGGUGUAAAGGGAGCGUAGACGGCAGCACAAGUCUGGAGUGAAAUGCCGGGGCUUAACCCCGGAACUGCUUUGGAAACUGUGCAGCUAGAGUGCAGGAGAGGUAAGUGGAAUUCCUAGUGUAGCGGUGAAAUGCGUAGAUAUUAGGAGGAACACCAGUGGCGAAGGCGGCCUGCUGGACAGAAACUGACGUUGAGGCUCGAAAGCGUGGGGAGCAAACAGGAUUAGAUACCCGGGUAA
rnacentral:rRNA from 1 species